UACAGAGGUGACUAACGUUGUCCGGAAUUAUUGGGCGUAAAGGGCGCGUAGGUGGUCAGGUAAGUCAGGUGUGAAAGCUCUGGGCUUAACCCAGGAAUUGCAUCUGAUACUGCUUGGCUUGAGUACGGUAGAGGAGGGUGGAAUUCCCAGUGUAGCGGUGAAAUGCGUAGAUAUUGGGAGGAACACCGGUGGCGAAGGCGGCCCUCUGGACCGAAACUGACGCUGAGGCGCGAAAGCGUGGGUAGCAAACAGG
rnacentral:rRNA from 1 species